UGGUAGGAAACAAGUAUUCUCAAGCUUGGGUCUACAUUCUUCUGGUAAUGCGGAUUUAGCCCAAGGUCACGCGAGAAACCUUUAUUUCAAGCAGCUUGCUCAGUCUUAAGGAGAAUUGCUACAGUAUUUCCCUUUGUACACAUUUCGUUAAGUAAAUGCUUAAUAGCAGGGUGGCUGUCAUCUUAGGGCAAAUAUUUUAGAAAUCCCUUGUUAGUCACAUCAGGUGUGCUUCUUCAAUAUUGCAACAUCUGUUAUUUGUUAGAUGCAAACAGAGAAUGAAAAUGUGUAUUUGCCUUGUCCUGGGCUCUUCAAGUAAUUCAGGCAACCUGGCUGAAUGUGCUGGAGACAGUGCUGACGUUACAGUUAUUUCAGGAAGGUAAAAUUGCACCAAAACUUGAGUAGGGGGUAAACUAAAAAAUGUUGUAUUACGCUUGGGUGCCCUCUAGUUCUCUUACAAUCCAGUGUGUACUUUAAAGAUACCUUGAUCCUUGGAAUUUCCUUGUAGAAGUCAAUGCUGUUCCAGCAGAGCAAACACUGGAUGGGCUCUUCACAAACAGUGGCUCCCACCUGCCAUUCCCAUCUCCCGACAUGACCAUCUCCAUGGAGGAUGUUGCCUUGGGGAUGAGCCAGGUUCAUCCUGCAGCUCCCCAGUAGCACUGUGCCAGAUCUGCCCCAUCCCUCUGAGCCACAGCAGGCCCUGAGAUCUGCUGGAAGCACUGGAGCAAAAGGUGCUCAAAAGCUGGUUUCUUCCAGGGACUGAAGAACAUUGUAAACCACAGCCCUAAAUGUUUGAUUAACCCCUAUGGGACCUGUGUGGUUUUCACAAGACAUUAACUGUAAGAGGUACAUUUCUUGCACUGUGUCUGCAGCUGGCUACUCAAUCCUAAUGAUCUGGUUUCCUAAUCUCUUACUUGAACAAAAAUAUGGCGAGGCAGAGACCAUGAGAUGCUGCUUUCACAUCUUUUUUCCAUAUGGGAUUUGGGCAGACAAUUUGCCAACAUAGUGAUGACCUGUUGCUCUUAUUUUUUUUUAUCUAUAGAAACUUGACUCUUCUAUGAAUCAGGGCAUAUCUAUAAACUGAGUGAAACCAAUAAAGGAUGUUAAGGAUACCACAUACAUAUGUA